rnacentral:rRNA from 1 species
GCUAGCUACAGGCUUAACACAUGCAAGUCGAGGGGCAGCAUGGUCUUAGCUUGCUAAGGCCGAUGGCGACCGGCGCACGGGUGAGUAACGCGUAUCCAACCUGCCUUACACUCUUGGACAGCCUUCUGAAAGGGAGAUUAAUACAGGAUGUUAUCAUGAGUAAGCAUUUUCGCAUGAUUAAAGGUUUACCGGUGUAAGAUGGGGAUGCGUUCCAUUAGAUAGUAGGCGGGGUAACGGCCCACCUAGUCUUCGAUGGAUAGGGGUUCUGAGAGGAAGGUCCCCCACAUUGGAACUGAGACACGGUCCAAACUCCUACGGGAGGCAGCAGUGAGGAAUAUUGGUCAAUGGACGAGAGUCUGAACCAGCCAAGUAGCGUGAAGGAUGAAGGUUCUAUGGAUUGUAAACUUCUUUUAUACGGGAAUAAACGGAUCCACGUGUGGAUUUUUGCAUGUACCGUAUGAAUAAGGAUCGGCUAACUCCGUGCCAGCAGCCGCGGUAAUACGGAGGAUCCGAGCGUUAUCCGGAUUUAUUGGGUUUAAAGGGAGCGUAGAUGGGUUGUUAAGUCAGUUGUGAAAGUUUGCGGCUCAACCGUAAAAUUGCAAUUGAUACUGGCAGUCUUGAGUACAGUUGAGGUAGGCGGAAUUCGUGGUGUAGCGGUGAAAUGCUUAGAUAUCACGAAGAACUCCGAUUGCGAAGGCAGCUUACUAACCUGUAACUGACAUUGAUGCUCGAAAGUGUGGGUAUCAAACAGGAUUAGAUACCCUGGUAGUCCACACGGUAAACGAUGAAUACUCGCUGUAGGCGAUAUACAGUCUGCGGCCAAGCGAAAGCAUUAAGUAUUCCACCUGGGGAGUACGCCGGCAACGGUGAAACUCAAAGGAAUUGACGGGGGCCCGCACAAGCGGAGGAACAUGUGGUUUAAUUCGAUGAUACGCGAGGAACCUUACCCGGGCUUAAAUUGCAACCGAAUAUGGCGGAAACGCUAUAGCUAGCAAUAGCGGUUGUGAAGGUGCUGCAUGGUUGUCGUCAGCUCGUGCCGUGAGGUGUCGGCUUAAGUGCCAUAACGAGCGCAACCCUUGCCGAUAGUUACUAACAGGUCGUGCUGAGGACUCUGUCAGGACUGCCAUCGUAAGAUGUGAGGAAGGUGGGGAUGACGUCAAAUCAGCACGGCCCUUACGUCCGGGGCUACACACGUGUUACAAUGGGGGGUACAGAGGGCUGCUACCACGCAAGUGGAUGCCAAUCCCAAAAACCUCUCUCAGUUCGGAUUGAAGUCUGCAACCCGACUUCAUGAAGCUGGAUUCGCUAGUAAUCGCGCAUCAGCCACGGCGCGGUGAAUACGUUCCCGGGCCUUGUACACACCGCCCGUCAAGCCAUGGGAGCCGGGGGUACCUGAAGUGCGUAACCGCAAGGAGCGCCCUAGGGUAAAACUGGA